UACGGAGGGUGCAAGCGUUACUCGGAAUUACUGGGCGUAAAGCGUGCGCAGGCGGUUUGUUAAGUCUGUUGUGAAAUCCCCGAGCUCAACUUGGGAAUUGCAAUGGAUACUGGCAGGCUGGAGUAUGGUAGAGGAAGGUGGAAUUCCCGGUGUAGCAGUGAAAUGCGUAGAGAUCGGGAGGAACAUCAGUGGCGAAGGCGGCCAUCUGGGACAACACUGACGCUGAAGCACGAAAGCGUGGGGAGCAAACAGG
rnacentral:rRNA from 1 species